rnacentral:rRNA from 1 species
AGAGUUUGAUCCUGGCUCAGAUUGAACGCUGGCGGCAGGCCUAACACAUGCAAGUCGAGCGGAAACGAGUUAUCUGAACCUUCGGGGGACGAUAACGGCGUCGAGCGGCGGACGGGUGAGUAAUGCCUAGGAAAUUGCCCUGAUGUGGGGGAUAACCAUUGGAAACGAUGGCUAAUACCGCAUGAUGCCUACGGGCCAAAGAGGGGGACCUUCGGGCCUCUCGCGUCAGGAUAUGCCUAGGUGGGAUUAGCUAGUUGGUGAGGUAAGGGCUCACCAAGGCGACGAUCCCUAGCUGGUCUGAGAGGAUGAUCAGCCACACUGGAACUGAGACACGGUCCAGACUCCUACGGGAGGCAGCAGUGGGGAAUAUUGCACAAUGGGCGCAAGCCUGAUGCAGCCAUGCCGCGUGUGUGAAGAAGGCCUUCGGGUUGUAAAGCACUUUCAGUCGUGAGGAAGGUGGUGUAGUUAAUAGCUGCAUUAUUUGACGUUAGCGACAGAAGAAGCACCGGCUAACUCCGUGCCAGCAGCCGCGGUAAUACGGAGGGUGCGAGCGUUAAUCGGAAUUACUGGGCGUAAAGCGCAUGCAGGUGGUUUGUUAAGUCAGAUGUGAAAGCCCGGGGCUCAACCUCGGAAUAGCAUUUGAAACUGGCAGACUAGAGUACUGUAGAGGGGGGUAGAAUUUCAGGUGUAGCGGUGAAAUGCGUAGAGAUCUGAAGGAAUACCGGUGGCGAAGGCGGCCCCCUGGACAGAUACUGACACUCAGAUGCGAA